rnacentral:rRNA from 1 species
UACGAAGGGGGCGAGCGUUGUUCGGAUUUACUGGGCGUAAAGGGCGCGCAGGCGGCUCAUUUUGUCAGGCGUGAAAGCCCCGGGCUUAACCUGGGAGGUGCGUUUGAUACGGAUGGGCUAGAGUUCGGGAGAGGAGAGUGGAAUUCCCAGUGUAGAGGUGAAAUUCGUAGAUAUUGGGAAGAACACCAGUGGCGAAGGCGACUCGCUGGACAAGUAUUGACGCUGAGGUGCGAAAGCGUGGGGAGCAAACAGG